CCUACGGGCGGCAGCAGUGAGGAAUAUUGGUCAAUGGACGAGAGUCUGAACCAGCCAAGUAGCGUGAAGGAUGACUGCCCUAUGGGUUGUAAACUUCUUUUAUAAAGGAAUAAACCGCGGCACGUGUGCCUUUUUGCAUGUACUUUAUGAAUAAGGAUCGGCUAACUCCGUGCCAGCAGCCGCGGUAAUACGGAGGAUCCGAGCGUUAUCCGGAUUUAUUGGGUUUAAAGGGAGCGUAGAUGGUUUGUUAAGUCAGUUGUGAAAGUUUGCGGCUCAACCGUAAAAUUGCAAUUGAUACUGGCAGUCUUGAGUACAGUUGAGGUAGGCGGAAUGCGUGGUGUAGCGGUGAAAUGCUUAGAUAUCACGAAGAACCCCGAUUGCGAAGGCAGCUUACUAAGCUGUGACUGACAUUGAUGCUCGAAAGUGUGGGUAGCAAACAGGAUUAGAUACCCGUGUAGUC
rnacentral:rRNA from 1 species